rnacentral:tRNA from 1 species
AGGCACCUGGCUGGCUCAGUACAGCUUGAGACUCUUGAUCUCAGGGUUGUGGGUUCGAGCCCCACGUUGUAUG